GACGAAGGGGGCGAGCGUUGUCCGGAUUCAUUGGGCGUAAAGCGCGCGCAGGCGGCCCGGUAAGUCGGAUGUGAAAUCCCACGGCUCAACCGUGGAACUGCAUUCGAUACUGUCGGGCUAGAGGCAGGUAGGGGAGAUCGGAAUUCCUGGUGUAGCGGUGAAAUGCGCAGAUAUCAGGAAGAACACCCGUGGCGAAGGCGGCUCACUGGCCCGGUACUGACGCUGAGGCACGAAAGCGUGGGGAGCGAACAGG
rnacentral:rRNA from 1 species